GAUGAACGCUGGCGGCGCGCCUAACACAUGCAAGUCGAACGGUUAAAGCACCUUUUAGGUGUGUAUAAAGUGGCGAACGGCUGAGUAACACGUGGGCAACCUGCCCUCCUCUUGGGGAUAGCCUCGGGAAACCGAGGAUAAUACCCGAUACUUCAAUGUGGCCGCAUGACGACAUUGAGAAAGCUUUUGCGGAGAAGGAUGGGCCCGCGGCCUGUUAGCUUGUUGGUGGGGUAGAGGCCUACCAAGGCAAUGAUGGGUAGCUGGGUUGAGAGACCGACCAGCCAGAUUGGGACUGAGACACGGCCCAGACUCCUACGGGAGGCAGCAGUGGGGAAGCUUGCACAAUGGGCGAAAGCCGGAUGCAGCGACGCCGCGUGCGGGACGAAGGCCUUCGGGUUGUAAACCGCUUUCAGCAGGGACGAGGCGAUAAGUGACGGUACCUGCAGAAGAAGCCCCGGCUAACUACGUG
rnacentral:rRNA from 1 species